rnacentral:rRNA from 1 species
CCUACGGGUGGCAGCAGUGGGGAAUAUUGGACAAUGGGGGCAACCCUGAUCCAGCCAUGCCGCGUGUGUGAAGAAGGCCCUCGGGUUGUAAAGCACUUUCAGUGAGGAAGAACGCCUGUUGGUUAAUACCCAUCAGGAAAGACAUCACUCACAGAAGAAGCACCGGCUAACUCCGUGCCAGCAGCCGCGGUAAUACGGAGGGUGCGAGCGUUAAUCGGAAUUACUGGGCGUAAAGCGCGCGUAGGUGGCUUGAUAAGCCGGUUGUGAAAGCCCCGGGCUCAACCUGGGAACGGCAUCCGGAACUGUCAAGCUAGAGUGCAGGAGAGGAAGGUAGAAUUCCCGGUGUAGCGGUGAAAUGCGUAGAGAUCGGGAGGAAUACCAGUGGCGAAGGCGGCCUUCUGGACUGACACUGACACUGAGGUGCGAAAGCGUGGGUAGCAAACAGGAUUAGAUACCCGGGUAGUC